UGGGGCGGGACGGCGCCGCCUCGGGUGCUCGCCGGGAGCCGGCCGCGCGGUGCCUGCUGCUCCUCCGCAGAGCGCUGCCUUCUACCUUUUUUUCCUUCCUCUUUGCAAUUUUGAACAUUUUGCAGGAGGCAGGUGAGAGCAUCCUGCACGCCGAGGAGCCCGCGGCGCCGCGUGCGCUCUCCUGCGACCGUCCGCGCUGAAAACCCCAAAGUUUCCUUAUUUUAAUAUUUUAUGCAGAUGCAUCGAUAGAGAUAGAAGUCAUCCUUUUUUUCCCCCCCUUGUUUCCAACGCUUUGCGAGCGAGUACUUUUGGUUUGGCAAAGGACAGAGGAAAAAGCUCAACAUUUCGGGGCGGCGAUUGGCCUUCUUUUUAGAAAAGAAAACAAAAUUGGGUGCAUCGCGAUGGAGAAAAUGUCCCGACAGCUUCCCCUGAACCCCACCUUUAUCCCGCCUCCCUACGGCGUGCUCAGGUCCCUGCUGGAGAACCCGCUGAAGCUGCCCCUUCAUCCCGAAGACGCAUUUAGUAAAGAUAAAGACAAGGAAAAGAAGCUGGAUGAUGAGAGUAACAGCCCGACGGUCCCCCAGUCGGCCUUUUUGGGACCCACCUUAUGGGACAAAACCCUUCCCUAUGACGGAGACACUUUCCAGUUGGAAUACAUGGACCUGGAGGAAUUUCUGUCAGAAAAUGGCAUUCCCCCCAGCCCGUCCCAGCACGACCAUAGCCCUCACCCUCCCGGGUUGCAGCCCGCUUCCUCCACUGCCCCCUCGGUCAUGGACCUCAGCAGCCGGGCCUCUGCACCGCUCCACACUGGCAUCCCAUCUCCAAACUGUAUGCAGAGCCCCAUCAGACCAGGCCAACUCUUGCCAGCAAAUCGCAAUACACCGAGUCCCAUUGAUCCUGACACCAUCCAGGUCCCAGUUGGGUAUGAACCAGACCCGGCAGACCUUGCCCUCUCCAGCAUCCCAGGGCAGGAAAUGUUUGACCCUCGCAAACGCAAGUUCUCCGAGGAGGAACUGAAGCCACAGCCCAUGAUUAAGAAAGCUCGCAAAGUCUUCAUCCCUGAUGAUCUGAAGCAGGAUGACAAGUACUGGGCACGACGCAGAAAGAACAACAUGGCGGCCAAGCGCUCCCGUGAUGCCCGGAGGCUGAAGGAGAACCAGAUUGCCAUCCGGGCCUCGUUCCUGGAGAAGGAGAACUCGGCCCUCCGCCAGGAGGUGGCUGACUUGAGGAAGGAGCUGGGCAAGUGCAAGAACAUACUUGCCAAGUACGAGGCCAGGCAUGGGCCCCUGUAGGAUGGCAUUUUUGUGGGCUGGCUUUUGAAUAGAUGGACAGCUUGUUUCCUGUCUGGUAGCACCACACCCAAACCAACCUUUCUGACAUCAGCACUUUACCAGAGGCAUAAACACAACUGAUUCAUAUUUUGAUGUGCAUCCGUGUGUGUGUGUGUGUGUGUGUGUGUGUGUGUGUGUGUGCGUGCGAGUGUACACGUGCUUAUGGUCCCAUGUGCAGCAGGGGUGUGCAUGUGUGCCGAGCGUGUUUGCACUUUCCAUUUUAAGAUAGUCCUCUCAUUGUCUUUUAGUUUCAAACAAGAACGGUGCCAUGUUUUUACUAGACUUUGGAGACCUCUGUGGGGUUUCCUCUCCUCCCUUCUCCACUCCUGUCCUUCCCUUGCUUCUUGUUCCAGAAAACCUACUCUUCGGGGUCUGCGGUUUCGCAAAGGGGGACCCUGGAAACACAACGGGUCUCAGUUUUCAAGAGCAGGAGCUCUUGUUUCUGUUUCAACUAUGAGUUACCAUGCUAAACAGGUGCACCACAUCCCUUAGCACUGCACCUGAAUUCCUACAUAGGUGGUUCUUCUCGAGAGUUUUUGUUUUUGUUUUUGUUUUAUUUUUUCCAAUUUUGGUGAUAACUGUCUUUAAAUUUCAAGUGCUGUUUAGAUUUGUUAGAUCCCAUAUUUACUUACUGCUAUCUACUAAGUUUCCUUUUAAUUCUACCAACCCCAGAUAAGUAAGUACUAUUAUAGAACACAGAGUGUGUUUUGCACUGUCUGUACCUACAGCAAUAAUCCUAUUGUACCCUAGAGCAUGCUGCCUGAGUACUACUAGUGGACGUAGGAUAUUUUCCCUACCUAGGAAUUUCACUGUCUUUUACAAAACAAAAUUAAAGUAAUGCAUUUGCGCAUGACCAGAGUAUUCUCAGGACAGGGAAGCUGAGGGCUAUGGGAGGUCUAAGAAGGUGGGGUUAAUUUAUCAGUUUGUGAGCCAAAACAAUGCAUCUUGGAGAAGCCUGUGCCUGGAUGUGCUUGGUUUUCUUGUAACCCUUCUCCUACACCCCGCACCCACUUUUCCAUUUCCCUCUCGAUAUUCAAAAUAAUUGAAUUACUUAAGAUUCAGUUUUCCCACUCUUUUUGUAACAUAUAUUUUUUUGUGAAUUAUCCUUUGCUGUUUUUAGAUUAAGUUAAAAGUUGAUGUUUUGGAAGGUCCUUUUCCCUUGUGGUGUCAUUUUUGAAUGCCUCAUAAAUUAAUGAUUCUGGAGCCUGUGUUUCUUAUCCUCUGUUUGCUUUUGAAGACUGUACUCUUAUCAAGUGGACUUCUGAAAAAAAUGAAUGUAAAAGACACUGGUGUAUCUCAGAAGGGGACGGUGUUGUCACAAACUGUGGUUUAUCCAAUCAAUUUAAAUGUUUACUAUAGACCAAAAGGAGAGAUUAUUAAAUUGUUUAAUGUUUAUACAGAGUAAUUAUAGGAAGUUCUUUUUUGUACAGUAUUUUUCAGAUAUAAAUACUGACAAUGUAUUUUGGAAGACAUAUAUUAUAUAUAGAAAAGAGAAAAGGAGAACUAUUCCAUGUUUUAAAAUUAUAUAGCAAAGAUAUAUAUUCACCAAUGCUGUACAGAAAAGUGCUUGGGGGGGUGAAGUCUUUAAUAUUUUAAAUCUAUUACUGACACAUCAGCAUGUUUUCUGCUUAAAAUUAAAAUUUUAUGACAAUACGGAGGCUGGCUGUGGCGAAUCCUCUCCAACGCAUUCUUGUUUCUUAUUAGGUCUCAGAAGGGAGUCAGUUAACGUCACCCAGAAGCACAAAAUGGAUUUUAGUCAAAUAUUUAUUGGAUGGUUCAGUGUUUUUUAGGAAAAGCAUCUGCCACAUAAAUGUUCACUUCAAAAUUCUGAGUUCCUGGAACAAAGUGUUGGGGAGAGAGCCCCAAACGGCUUCAUUAUGUUUGGGCCCUGUUUGUCUUACACAGUGUAAGGUUGACCUCGGUGCUACGUGUAUGACUUAUAAUUUGAUGGAUAUUUUGACUUUAAAGAUGAUUGUUCUUUUCUUUCACUGAGUUGUAUAAUGUCAAAAGAUUCUGCUGUUUCUGCAAAGACAUAUUUUGUGCUAGAUUAAAAUCCCCUUUCAUCCA